UUCCUGGCAGUUCAGUGGUUAGAACUUGGCACUUUCACUGCUGAGGGCCCAGGUUCAAUCCCUGGUCAGGGAA
rfam:TPA: Bos taurus chromosome 19, whole genome shotgun sequence.